UACGUAGGGUGCGAGCGUUGUCCGGAAUUAUUGGGCGUAAAGGGCUCGUAGGCGGUUUGUCGCGUCGGGAGUGAAAACCCAGGGCUCAACCCUGGGCCUGCUUCCGAUACGGGCAGACUAGAGGUAUGCAGGGGAGAAUGGAAUUCCUGGUGUAGCGGUGAAAUGCGCAGAUAUCGGGAGGAACACCGGUGGCGAAGGCGGUUCUCUGGGCCUGUACUGACGCUGAGGAGCGAAAGCGUGGGGAGCGAACAGG
rnacentral:rRNA from 1 species